GAUCAGGCGUCCGACUGAAACCGCCGCCAUGGCACCGCGGUUCCGGUGGCAGGCAGCACGGAGCCCAGCAGGAAUGUCCGCUUCGACGACGCGGCAACUAAACCCUCAACUAAUCCGAGUCUGCAUGAAAUGCGUCUUCGCAUCUGCAUUUUGCUAACACGGAAAUAAGCACGUUAAAGGCUUCGGCGGAGACAGCCAGCAUUUGGUGGCUCAAUCGAACGGACUACAGGACGGGGGGGAAGAAACAACGGGACGCCUCUGCUUUCCUUCACCCCGAAAGCUGGUCUGCAGAGCCGCCAUGAAUGUUUCAACGGCUCGGAGAUAUUAUUUGAAAAUCCGUAACAAACAGCAAUUCACCCACCUGUCUUGUCAGUGGCAAACAAGCGAAGAGAAGAAAGCAAACGCAAGUCACGCCAGUGGUUUUGGGGUUUUUUUGUUUUUUAAAAAGUGCCUUUUUUCCAGGUAUAGACCCCGGGGAGUCAGGACGAAACGUAUCCGACGAGAGGAGCGUCUGGUUCGGUAUGAAACUCCGCCCAGCGCCGCAGGGGGAGGAACUCCGAAGAAAAACAUGCGAGAUAAUAGGAGACAAAGGCGGAGGCGACAGUUUGGCCUAGAGUUUUAUUUUUAUUAAACUUUUUACAAUAAAUUUUUAUUCAUUUGAAAUAAUUGAAACAAUUUUACAUCAUAGCUUGGUCCCCGAGUCACUGGCUAGCUACGCAGCUAAAGCACGUUGGCGGCAGCAUGGCGAGAGAAGUGGGCUCCUGGAGAGGCUUGCGGCCCAGGGGCUCCGAUGCCCGUAACCCAGGCACGCUCCCAUGUGAAGUGUGUUUCCCCGCUUGUGCGCGUCUCGUAUCGCCAAGGGCUUCGACACUCUGGGCCGCUUAAACCUGCGGCCGCAUAUCGCCUGUCCCCGGAGCCGCUAGCCAGCAAGCUAACCAGGCUAACGGAGCUAACUAGCUGCCUUGCCCCGGGAUUACGUAAUCUGGCGGCUCGUGUCCCGUUAGUCCCAUCGGGGCGCCUUAGUCACGUAUCGGGGGUUUACAUUGCAUUUGAACGCGUUUUAACUGCAAAACAAUAGGUUUGCAUGGUGGCUUUCCCCAGUCUGUCAUUCUUGCGAGCUUUUAGUGAUUUCGUGUAAUGGCUGAGGCACUGUGAAAGCUGGCGUGAGCAAAGCCACCCACGUACACUUCGUAACAUUACUAAUCGGUUGCUAAAUUCAUAAGAAUUCAGAUACGACUGUUCAUACACAGUUAAGCGUGGACACAUGCAUUUCUAAAUGCUUGGGUGCCGUUGCUGAGGGAUCACUGACCUGCCGACCUUGCGGUUAUGUGUAAAGAAUAGUGACGGUUUUGUUGGAUGAGAUAUUCAAAAUGAACAAUGCAUACCCUACAUCGGGUGUGCCUGUAUAUACUUGUGUAUUUUACUGUAUCUUCGAAUAUAUAAAAUGUACUGAAAUGUAGGCCAGUAGCAUCAUAAAAUUAAGUACAUUUGCUACCAUUCUCAGUAAAAAGAAUAAGUACUCACUGUGUGUUUAACAAUACAUCAUACACAAUACAAAGUAUUUCUUUUCAUUGAGCAUGUGGAAAAUAAUUUGGUUUUAAUCAUGAAAACCUAAUUUGUUUGGGAAUGUUAUUGGGCUGUCAUGGAAGAAAACUGACCAAAAAAAAAGGAAAUCGACAAGUAGAAAAAAAAUGUUUAUUUGUCACAUAUUUGAAGUAGAUAUACACAAACCAUUGAGCAUUAAAAUCUAGAACAUUAUAUGGAAGAAAUUACAUCCAUUGUCAUCCUUAAUGUCUAAUCUGAUUACCCUUAACUCCACAGCACUAUUUACUACACAGCAAUCUGAAUUUAAGACUCCCCCCAUCCAAAUCCUCACCAGCCAUCCCCUUUCAGUUUUCCAGCCAGUAUACAUUUAUUUCUGGGCUAAAAGAAACAGGACAUUGUUCAUGUCCAACUCUGACCCAUGUGAUUUAUAACCUAAAUAUUCACAUUUUGCAAUAAACUAUUACUGAAACAA